AUUCCAGGCCUUUAAGGACUGGUAAUUGGAAUGAGUACAAUUUAAACCCCUUAACGAGGAUCAAUUAGAGGGCAAGUCUGGUGCCAGCAGCCGCGGUAAUUCCAGCUCUAAUAGCGUAUGAUAAAAUUGUUGCGGUUAAAAAGCUCGUAGUUGGAUUUUGGGAUCUAUACAGUUGGUCCGGUGAAAGCCGCGCACUGACAGUUGGGUUCUUCUGUCUGGAGACUGCCCUGGGCUUCAAAACCCAGGCGGGAUCUAGGACCUUUACUUUGAACAAAUUAGAGUGUUUAAAGCAGGCAUACGCCUUGAAUACAUUAGCAUGGAAUAAACAAAUAGGACUUUGGUUCUAUGUUGUUGGUUUAAGGACCGAAGUAAUGAUUAAUAGGGACAGUUGGGGGCAUUAAUAUUUAAUUGUCAGAGGUGAAAUUCUUAGAUUUAUGAAAGAUUAACUACUGCGAAAGCAUUUGCCAAGGAUGUUUUCAUUAAUCAAGAACGAAAGUUAGGGGAUCGAAGGCGAUCAGAUACCGUCGUAGUCUUAACCAUAAACGAUGCCGACUAGGGAUUGGAGAACGUUAUUUUCAUGACUCCUUCAGCACCUUAUGAGAAAUCAAAGUCUUUGGGUUCCGGGGGGAGUAUGGUCGCAAGGCUGAAACUUAAAGGAAUUGACGGAAGGGCACCACCAGGAGUGGAGCCUGCGGCUUAAUUUGACCCAACACGGGGAAACUUACCAGGUCCAGACAUAGUAAGGAUUGACAGAUAGAUAGCUCUUUCUUGAUUCUAUGGGUGGUGGUGCAUGGCCGUUCUUAGUUGGUGGAGUGAUUUGUCUGCUUAAUUGCGAUAACGAACGAGACCUUAACCUACUAAAUAGUUACGCGAACCUCUGUGUUCGUGGACAACUUCUUAGAGGGACUUUUGCGUGUUUUAACCAAAGGAAGUUUGAGGCAAUAACAGGUCUGUGAUGCCCUUAGAUGUCUUGGGCUGCACCCGCGCUACACUGAUGGAUUCAACGAGUUUAUAACCUUGGCCGGCAGGUCUGGGUAAUCUUUGAAAGUUCAUCGUGAUGGGGAUUGAUCUUUGUAAUUCUAGAUCAUGAACGAGGAAUUCCUAGUAAGUGCAAGUCAUCAGCUUGCGUUGAUUACGUCCCUGCCCUUUGUACACACCGCCCGUCGCUCCUACCGAUUGAAUGAUCCGGUGAGGUUUUUGGACUGGCAGUGUUUGUGUGGCGACACACGGCACCGCCGGGAAGAUACCCUAACCUUAUCAUUUAGAGGAAGGAGAAGUCGUAACAAGGUU
rnacentral:rRNA from 1 species